ACGAACGCUGGCGGCGCGCCUAACCCAUGCAAGUCGCACGAGCGAGAGAGAGCUUGCUUUCUCAAGCGAGUGGCGAACGGGUGAGUAACGCGUGAGGAACCUGCCUCAAAGAGGGGGACAACAGUUGGAAACGACUGCUAAUACCGCAUAAGCCCACGACCCGGCAUCGGGUAGAGGGAAAAGGAGCAAUCCGCUUUGAGAUGGCCUCGCGUCCGAUUAGCUAGUUGGUGAGGUAACGGCCCACCAAGGCGACGAUCGGUAGCCGGACUGAGAGGUUGAACGGCCACAUUGGGACUGAGACACGGCCCAGACUCCUACGGGAGGCAGCAGUGGGGAAUAUUGCACAAUGGGGGAAACCCUGAUGCAGCGACGCCGCGUGGAGGAAGAAGGUCUUCGGAUUGUAAACUCCUGUUGUUGAGGAAGAUAAUGACGGUACUCAACAAGGAAGUGACGGCUAACUACGUG
rnacentral:rRNA from 1 species